rnacentral:rRNA from 1 species
UCAGGCCUAACACAUGCAAGUCGAGCGAGACCUUCGGGUCUAGCGGCGGACGGGUGAGUAACGCGUGGGAACGUGCCCUUUGGUUCGGAAUAGCCCCGGGAAACUGGGAGUAAUACCGGAUACGGUCGAGAGACGAAAGAUUUAUCGCCGAAGGAUCGGCCCGCGUUGGAUUAGGUAGUUGGUGGGGUAAUGGCCUACCAAGCCGACGAUCCAUAGCUGGUUUGAGAGGAUGAUCAGCCACACUGGGACUGAGACACGGCCCAGACUCCUACGGGAGGCAGCAGUGGGGAAUCUUAGAAAGUGGGGGAAACCCUGAUCUAGCCAUGCCGCGGAUUGAAGGAGGCCUUAGGGUUGUAAAGCUCUUUCAGUGGGAAGAUAAUG